CCUUCGAUAGCUCAGUUGGUAGAGCGGAGGACUGUAGAUCCUUAGGUCGCUGGUUCAAAUCCGGCUCGAAGGA